rnacentral:lncRNA from 10 species
AACUCAGGUUUGCAGAGGCUGAGUAACUCGCCUACAUCACACAGCUAGGAAGAAGAGGAGUUGGCAUUUCAAACAAGGUAACUUAUGAAGUCCUGCAGAUGGAGAUCAAGACAUCAGCUGCGUUGUUGAAAGUAUAUUGUUGUGGACUGUGGCUUAAGUGUCAACACUGGGUUUCCUAAGUCCACCUCAUCAUCAAGCAUCCUCACACGUCCAGCCUCAAGGAACGACUCGAGGGCAGAGCUGUGCUUGUGAGGAUGACCACUGUAUGUAUCCUGGCAUCAGUCUCACUACCACCACACAGUAGAGGCUCAAGAUAUUAAUUAAAGGAAACAUGGGAUGUAUUGAAUCAGUAGAAUAAAUAAACCUCUUGGUAAGCAAGAAAAAACAUACCUCAGAUGGUAAGAAUCUUGGUGACCCAGAAAUGACAAUGAGGAAAAGAUCGGAUGAUCCUGACAUUCUCAUAACCUGAGAAGGAGAUCCUGGAACAGUACUUGGGAGAGCAUUGCACUUAGGAUUAAAGAAUUAAAGCACACGGGGGCAGACUUGAGUGGUAGAAAGGAUAUAUGAAACCCAUGUGCUCAAGAAUGUCCUGGGUACGGUACCUGCUGUCACUUCUACCACCAAUGGUUGCCACCAUCAUAAGCAGUUGUCAGUGAAUUCACAUCAUGCACCUGUCUGCCUAUCUGCUGGUGUCACCACAUGAGAGAAACCUCUGGCCAAGAGUUAAGGAAGGCCAUUCUCCUGGCAGCUUCUGUGAACCAGCCUGGGUGCCAGCUAGCCUGACAGCCUCCUGUCUUGAUUACUCUCCCUGCCCCUUUACCAAUAGCCUGAGAGUCAUGCGCUUUUGCAGAAGUUAUUGGCUAGGGAGUCAGCAAACAAUCCUGGGCAAUGACACCAAAAAUAAAAGGAUGGAAGAUGUUCAUGAUUAAAUAAAUUUUGGAAAUGCUGCAUACUUUAGCCUUCUCUGGGAGAUUCACAGUGCACAUUAGCAUUCUAAAUGCUCUGAGAAGCCCUGCAAGAAAUAACCAGGCUAGCUUUAUUUAACCCAUUGUUUCCUGCACUGCUCUGAUCAAGGUACCUUUUUCGUGGAUACCUACAAACAUCCCCAAGAACAUUCUUUAAGGAAAUGUUUGUUGGCACAGCCAAGACUUUCAGCUGCAAGUAAGAGAAGAGACUGGAGUCUGACUCAACCCAGGACCACAGUGACCUGACCAGAAAAAAAGAUGCUGAAACCAGCUGUGUUCACCUGAGGAGAUGACCGUGUCUGAGAAUAACAGUAGCUCAUAUUUGCUGGGUAUUCACCUUGUACAGUACUUCAUGAUCUCCAGUUUUCAGAUACGGAAACUUAAAGGAAUGAAAUGCAAUGUACCCAGUAAUAUAUAAUAGGUGGUCAAGCCAAGGUCUCUCGGUGGCCUGCCUGACUUGGGUAUAUCCCAUAAACCCUCUAGGUUCUAACUUUUUAUUUAUAACAUGAGGCUUAUCAUAUUAUAUUUUACCCACCCUUAUGAAGUUGUGAUGAGGAUUAGAUGAGAUGAUAAAGGACUUAAUGCAGGGCUUAGAACAUAGUAAGCUCUUAAGAAGUGUCAGCACAACAAAUCCCACACAAGCUGUACUUAACUUCUCCAGUGAUGGGCAGCUCAUUGCCUUACAAAGACCCUGACAUGACCCGCUCUAGUUACGAGAACAGUCACCCUGUUAUUGAGCCAAAACUUGUCUCCUCUUCCCCUUGGGUCCUAGCUGUGCCCUGGAAGCAGCCCCUAACCCUCCUCCCCUGACAUCUCUGCAGAGACCCAGACAAGGAUGUCAUCCCCAAGUCUGCUGGUCUUUUCUCCUUAUCCUCCUUCCCCAGUUCAUUGAGCUUGGGAGCAGGCACUUUGCCACCAAGUUAAGACCUCCAAUCAUUUCUUCUUCCUUUACCCCAUCCCUGGGCAGGGCCCCUGGUGUUUCUACGCUCCUCCCUUGAACAGCACACUUCUAAAGGGUUUCUCUCUAUCUGCAAAAGCCAGCAUCUGCCACAGAGCACCCAGACCGUGAAAGUUGAUGGAGGGCACGGACAUCCUGCAUGCCAGCCAGCCCAACUUGCCUGGGUGGCCAAGAAGGGGACAGGUCAGCCUCACACCUAACUCAGCUCCCUGGGGAAACCAAGUGAGGAGAAGGGAUGUGCUGGCCCAGAUGUCACUGGAUGCAAGACCAGGUGCACAACCCAGCAGCCUCUUGAAGGCGGGAAGUCCCCAGAGGACACAGAACACAGAGGAAGAGAGCAACGUUGUUAUGGUUUAACCCUUAGAUGGCACAUACCAUUUACCAGCACAGUUCUAUGUACUUUACCUGCAGAUUAACUCAUUUAUCCUCACAAGACCCUAUCUGCUCCCAUUUGAGAGAGGAGCAAACCAGGCCAAAGAGAGGUUAAGUUAUUUUCCCAAGAUCACACAGCAAAUAUGCAAUACAGCUGGUGUUUGAGGCCAGACAAUCUGGCUCCAGAGCUUGCAUCCUGACUCUCUGUCCUACGUUGUCUCCCAGCACUAUACCAUCUAGAGCAAUCCAGGGAAGAAAAGGCUACAGGAAGGAAUGGUAAAACUGAGACUAAAAGGGUAGGAAGGAUUCAGAGACUUAAAAACAGAGAGAAAGGGCAUUGUCUGGGAGAACAGCAUGGAGCAAAUGGUAAAGGUGUACCAUAGGCAGGGAGGAGGUCGGCUGGCUGGGGCAGAGGCCUUGGGGAAGGUAAAGGGUUAGUUUUGUUCUUCCUCUCAAACAGAAUCAUCAUUACAGGGACAGGACAAGGUGAAUGGCAGAGUCCCACCUAAUGCCUUGUCUGGAACAGAGACAGUGAAUAAAAUAAAAUCCCCACCCCAAGGAGCUCACAAUCUUGUAGGCAAAAGCCAUUGUAGCAGCCGCUGCCAUGGAUGGGCUUGAGAGGGUGCCUUCCCCAGGCGUGGUCCCUGUGACUCUGAAAGACAGCAUCUCCCUUGCAAGGGAAGUUGGUAGCUGCUCAGCUGCAUCCAUAAAGCAAGUCAGAUUCCACUGGGAAAGCUUCUGGAGUCUCCAUUAGUGCUAAAACGGCCCAAUGCUGCCUCCCUCCACACUGGCAAUGAAUUACUCCGAGACAGAGAUGGAGAAGAUGCCAAAGUCUCCCAUCGUCUUUCCUAACCUUGGGACAAAUUAAAUCAAAUUCCACUGCACAGCCUGAAGGCAUAAACUUCGUUAGCUGCACCAAUAUAUUCUGCCAGGCAGGCAGGCUCCCAGGUACUAAUUACUUUAUUCAGCAAGUUAAACAAAUGAUAUGAUAUCUAAAUUUGAGGGAGAGGCACCCGAGAGUUAUGGAGCACAUAGCAUUGGGAUCUGCCAAUGAACAAAGCAAAACGGAAUUGGUAAACUAACAGCUCAAAGUAUUUUAUCUGCAUAGCCUUCAAGAUUCAGCUCAGGGCCUCUGUCCCCUCCUCCUCUAGGAAGCCAUCCCUAAUGACAUCAUCUCCAUAGACCUUUCCUUCCAGAAGGCUGUAUACCCUAGUGGUUAGGAGCAUGGUUUUGGUCAUGCCUAGUAAAAUUUGGGUUCUACCUCAGACUAAUUGUGUGACUUGGGCACAUUGCUUAAUAGCCAGAUUACUCUAAACUCCCAGUUCCUCAACAGUAAAGUAGAGAAAUAAUAGCUUCUACUUCCUAAGAUUGUUGCAAGUGGUUCUUGAGAUAAUCCAUGUAAGGCUAUUAGCACAUAGUAAAAUCUCCAUGAACAGGCAUUGUUUCUAUUAUGAUUGUUAGUAUUAUUUAUAUUGUUAACCAUUGCAAUAUUGUUGGGGUCUCCAGGGGGUUCUCAAUAAGUGGCAGCCUUCUUGACUCAGUCUGCAGAAUUUUUAAAUAUAAAACAGAUAGAGAUCAAAAUAUUGAUAUUAUUACUGACAGAGGCUGAGUUGGAGGAUGUAGCUUAGUGAUGACAGUUAGGACAAUGAAUUCCAAGUUUAAGUUUCUCACACACACACAGAACAGGGCAGACUUCUUUGCAGGAACCCUGCCCAGUCAAGACACACAGCAAGGUAGAGCCCUCAUGGUCUCAUCCAGGCCAGAUCACCCCCAAGGGAGACAAGGUACCACAGAGACAUGACUGUUAUUCUUCUUAAAUUUGCCAGUCAGAUAAGUCAUUCCAUCUCCCCAGGGUAGCAAAAACAAGUGGGGUAGAAAAGGACUCAGUUACACUAAUUAAGCCACCUUCACCGAAGAAACAUCUGGAGUAGGAGGAAAGCCUUUCCCACUAACACAGGAGACAAUGGAAUGUGGUGGAAUCCAACAGGAUGGAUUCGAAUCUAUUCUCCCUCCAUUUACUGCUAUGUGAUUUGGGGGAAGAAAAUCUCUUUGAUUAUGGACCCAGUAAAAUCUUGCUUAAACAGCAUACAAACCAUUCAGAAGAGGUCACUGGCCAGGCAUGGUGGCUCAUGCCUGUAAUCUCAGCACUUUGGGAGCUAAAGUGGGAGGAUCACUUCAGGCCAGGAGGUCAAGGAUGCAGUGAGCCAUGGUCGUACCACAGCACACCAGCCUACAUGACAAAGCGAGACUCUGUCUCUGAAAAAAAAAAAUUAAAGACAUGUCAUGGCUCCUGAACUUUGGCUUUCUGGCCUUCCUCCCCUCAUCUUCCCGGUGCUGACCCUGCCGCCCUCUUCUACAGCUUCUAAGACCGAGACAAAGCCGCACUGACCCAAGCAGUCCACGACCAGCCAGCUGCCCCCAGACACAGUUCCCUCACUCCUGGUCGGAAGACACUUGAAUACAGAUUCUGCGCUGGCAGAGGAGUGCCGGCGCCUCCAGCUCCCUCAGCUCAGGACCUCUCCCCUGGCAGGAGCAGGGGGUGGAAAGCGUGCGAGCACGCUGGAGCUGAGGAAGCAGCAGGAAGGAGGGGUGUGUGCCAGUGCCAUAGACUCGACCAGGGCCUUCCACGUGCCUUCGCUCCUGUCACGGUCACGUAACCUUCUGAGGUGAGCACUGUCAUCCCACUUUCCAGAAGAGAUGCCUAAGGCUCAAGCCCUACCUGGAAGAUUAGGAAGCCCCCGCCGGACCCCCUUCCUGGUUGACGAUGACAUUCAUUCCAGUAACUGGCUUCGCCCCCUGGCUACAGUUGUUUGGAUAGUGGAGAGCACAUGACUCAAGAUGAACCAAUCAGAGUUGUCCUCCCACUAAUGUGUGCAAUUCAUAAUCAGCCGCACUGGGGAAGUUGGAGACUGGACUAUCAUCUGAUGACAUGUGCCAAAAGACAGAUAAAAACAAGAGACAGGACCAGGCAUGGUGGCUCACGCCUGUAAUCCUAACACUUUGGGAGCCUGAGGUGGGUGGAUUGCUUGAGGCCAGGAGUUCAAGACCAGCCUGAGCAACGUGGCAAAACCUCGUCUCUACUAAAAAUACAAAAAUUAGCCGGGCGUGGUGGUGCACACCUGUAAUCCCAGCUACUGGGGAGGUUGAGACACAAGAAUCACUUCAGCCUAGGUGGCAGAGAGUGCAGUGAGCCGAUAUCACACCACUGCACUCCAGCCUAUGGACAGAGUGAGACCCUGUCUCAAAAAAAUAAAUAAAUAAAAAUUUUUGAAAAAAUAAAAUAAAACAAACAAGCAAACUAACAAAAACAAGUGAGAGAAAGAGAGACGAUUAAGCACAAGCCCAGAGAAAUCCAAACAUGAAAGACUGUCUGGCUCCAGGGAGCGUGAGACUGAGAUAGGGUGACUGCUUUGAUUCUUGGUGGCCUCCCAGUCCCUUGUGAGAGCUACUGCUUUCCUGCGAUGGCCUCUGCCUCCCUGCAAAAAAAAAUUCUCUGUUUUUGUUUUUAUUUAUUUAUUUUUUGAGACAGAGUCUCGCUCUGUCACCCAGGCUGGAGUGCCAUAGCGCAAUCUCGGCUCACUGCAACCUCCCCUUCCCGGAUUCAAGCAAUUCUCUUGCCUCAGCCUCCUGAGUAGCUGAGAUUACAGGCACACGCCACCAUGCCCAGCUAAUUUUUGUAUUUUUUUUAGUAGAGACAGGGUUUCACCAUGUUGGUCAGGCUGGUCUCAAACCCCCACCUCAUGAUCCACCCGCCUUGGCCUCCCAAAGUACUGGGAUUACAGGCGUGAGCCACCACACCUGCCCAAAAUUCUCUAUUUUUGUUUAAGCCAACUUAGUCUCUGAUACUUGCAAAUAAAAUAAUCUUAAUUAAAAUACUCAGAAUGGUUAAGAGUCUUAACCAAGCAGUCAAGCCUAGAGCACAGACCAAUCUCCUCUAACUUCAAACCGCACCCUCUUGGCUGGCUGUGGGGAAAGUGGGGAUCUGAAGGGACCUAUGGCUCCUUCCUGUCCCCUUCCUAGGAGUGAGGAGUGGAGUCCUAAAAGCAGAGCCUGCAAUGAGAUGUGCAGACCAACACCUGCUCUCUGUGUCCUAGACCCAUUUGAAUCUGAAAUCCCAAACCAGAGUCAAGUUUCAUUCCAUGAAUACCUAUUUCAGCCACUCUCAGAGUGCCAGCCCCACUCCACAAUGGGACAGUGAUUCCCAGCUUCCCUGUGGAAUUGUCUUCUAACCAGUUUUGUUUGGAUUGGGUUUACCGGUAGAGAUAUGAUUCUAAACUUUUCAUUGGCAUGCCUGGAACAACCCAGCACUCACACACACCCACACUCCCAGAUCUGAAGACCUUCUUCAUCUGCCAUAAAACAGAACAUCACCUUUUCCUUGGCUGAAUGCAGCAUCCAACACACUGGAGGUCCAGCUGAUAGCAGGGAGGCAACAUUGUUCCCCAGGUUGUCCACCAAAGGGUGGGUAUGGGAGGUCCUCAG